rnacentral:tRNA from 1 species
UACCGGGUCGUCUAAUGGUAGGACUAUGGUUUUUGGUACCAUCAAUUGGGGUUCGAAUCCCUACCCGGUAA